GAUGAACGCUGGCGGCGUGCCUAAUACAUGCAAGUCGAGCGAACAGAUGAGGAGCUUGCUCCUCUGACGUUAGCGGCGGACGGGUGAGUAACACGUGGAUAACCUACCUAUAUGUCUGGGAUAACUUCGGGAAACCGGAGCUAAUACCGGAUAAUAUAUUGAACCGCAUGGUUCAAUAGUGAAAGACGGUUUUGCUGUCACUUAUAGAUGGAUCCGCGCCGCAUUAGCUGGUUGUUAAGGUAACGGCUUACCACGGCAACGAUGCGUAGCCGACCUGAGAGGGUGAUCGGCCACACGCGAACUGAGACACGGUCCAGACUCCUGCGGGAGGCAGCAGUAGGGAAUCUUCCGCAAUGGGCGAAAGCCUGACGGAGCAACCCCGCGUGAGUGAUGAAGGUCUUCGGAUCGUAAAACUCUGUUAUUAGGGAAGAACAAAUGUGUAAGUAACUAUGCACGUCUUGACGGUACCUAAUCAGAAAGCCACGGCUAACUACGUG
rnacentral:rRNA from 1 species